rnacentral:rRNA from 1 species
UGGGGGGGAAAGGCCAAUCAAACCGGGAGAUAGCUGGUUCUCCCCGAAAGCUAUUUAGGUAGCGCCUCGUGAACUCAUCUUCGGGGGUAGAGCACUGUUUCGGCUAGGGGGUCAUCCCGACUUACCAACCCGAUGCAAACUACGAAUACCGAAGAAUGUUAUCACGGGAGACACACGGCGGGUGCUAACGUCCGUCGUGAAGAGGGAAACAACCCAGACCGCCAGCUAAGGUCCCAAAGUCAUGGUUAAGUGGGAAACGAUGUGGGAAGGCACAGACAGCCAGGAUGUUGGCUUAGAAGCAGCCAUCAUUUAAAGAAAGCGUAAUAGCUCACUGGUCGAGUCGGCCUGCGCGGAAGAUGUAACGGGGCUAAACCAUGCACCGAAGCUGCGGCAGCGACACUAUGUGUUGUUGGGUAGGGGAGCGUUCUGUAAGCCUGCGAAGGUGACCUGUGAGGGUUGCUGGAGGUAUCAGAA